AACAGAUGGACCUCACAGUCUCGCAACUAACAUGGGAACCAGUAAUCUCAUGCCAGAGGAAGCACUCCUGAGGCAGAGGAGAUUUCAGGAGAGAACAGGUUGAACAUUAAUAAGGAGGAGCUUUGGCACUGGUCCAAGAAACAGGAUAAGCUAAAUCUCUGCAUCUAUUCUGGACACCAGAAUGGCGCGGGGACCAUUUAGAGGUGAGAUGGGCAGAUGAGGAGCUGAAGUUUCAGAGAGGUUAAGCAAUUUGCCUAGGUUCACACAGCAAAGAUGAUGAAACUUACAACCACAAGGUGAGCCCUUCUUACUAGAAGUUCUCUUCGUGUCUCCUGGUGUUCACAUAUUGGAAGACUUAAUCCUUCAGUGACCGGGAAAAGACCUCCUAGGACCUACCAAUCCAGCCUUAUCAGACACCUGGCAGAGAAAGUGAUUUCUGAAGCAGGAGAAAACCCAGGAAGAUUGCUCAGUUCCUGUGCAAGCUGCUUCCCAGCUGGAGAUGACAGUUAAUCUUGAAAAUCAAUUCAGUGCCUGCUCUCACUGCAGACACUCCUCAGGGCAGGCCACGGCUCCUCUCACCACCGUUAAACAGAAUAAAAAGUGGGGAAUUGAGCAGCAUAGCAAUCCCCAGAAGCAGCCCUUUCACAGAGAGGAAGCUGAGGCUUAGAGGGUGUCAAUGGAUGAUCCAGUGCUGCAGAGCCAGAAGGGCCACCAUAACAAUGAAAUGGAGGCAGCAUACAUUGGUAAUGGAAAGAGCAUGGGAGUUUGGAAGUCAAAAGAGAUAAGCAUAAUCAUUUUAUGUCACUUUCUCUACUGGGUCAUAAGUGGUAACAGCAAGAAUUGUCUUAUGCUCAGAGUCAUCGGCUGAACCCAGAAGCUUGGAGAUUGGUUAUAUUUAUGAAGUCUAAAAGAGUAACUCAGAUGGAUGUUUUCUGACCUUGAUAAGGACUCUGAAAAUGAUCCUUACAAGUAAACAGAAGAGACCACAAAUAACCAGUGACAGGUAAUGUGAUGAGACAUGGGAUCAAAGGACUGCGAUUGACUGCUUACCAGUUGGGUGACUUUGAGUGAGUGAUUCCAGCUCUCAUGUGCCCUGCAAAACUUACUAUUGUAUUUAUGAUGGGCACAAUAUGCACUACGUCACACACUGUGCCCUUCAGGAAAACCUGCUAGACAAAUUCCUCUAGGUUUCAGUGUCUAGGAUUCCUGAAAAUUUCCUGAAUGACAGUUCAAAAAAGUCUAACAAGCAGUUGAAAUCUGGUUGCUUCUGUGGGUUUCUUUUCUACCAUGGUAGGCAAGGAAUCUCAGGGCGAAAUCUGCAGCCCACUGUGAACAAGGGCAUGGCACCUCAUGGUAUCCACUGGGUAUCCAAACUCUCAGCUAGCUUUUUCAUACUUAGAGGUGAACUUUCCACUAGUUUCUUCUUAUUUUGCAUUUACCCCAAUUUCCUUAUUUGUUUUUAAACCUAUAGUUCGGCACACACGUCUUUAAGAUAUCUUAAAACCUUUGUGAAAUGAAGUAGAUGGCAAAUAAGUACAUUAAAUUAUUUUAAAAAUAGUUUGUCUCACUCUCAAGUUUCACAGGCAUACAACGGGAAUAGAGUAAUAGUAUCCUUCACAAUGUUGCUGGAAGAUGAAGUGACUGUGCGUGUAAGCGGCACUUUGUUGAGGGUAGAAUGCUAUGGGAGUAUUUGUGGUCGUAGUGUUUAAUCUCUCUUUGCUUCCCCCUUUCUUGUGUUCUCAGCUCAGGGAGGGAAAGUCAUUGAGCUUGUUAGGCAUCAAAGCUCUGUUCCUGCCAGGCAGCAAUAUGGGAAAAGAAGGGAACCAACCACAGAAAGUGAAGACUCGCCAUGUCUGCUCGGCAGCAGCCCUGCUGAUGGCCCCUUACCAAGCUGUGAUAGGGCACAGAGCCACCGCAACACAUGGGCUGGGGGACCGGAAGCCAGGUGACUGAGGCGGAACACCAGGCGGGACCACUCGGGCCAAGAAUUCCUGCCUAAAUGUUCCUAUGAUACUUCUCCCAGCUUGCAGGUGGACAUCCUAGCCAGCAACGAUCUCAUGUCUCAUUAGAGUGCAAGGGGGAGGAGGGAAAUCUGUGCAUGUUAAAUGUCCAGCCUUCCAUUGAGUUUGCAUGAACAUGGGUGAGUAUGUCACAAAUGUAUUGGCCAAAGGCAAUGGCUCAGGGGCAAUGUGAGGUGUGUUGCCAAUGGCCCCCAAAUACUCAGCAUUUCAGAGUGAGUGACAUCCCAGCAAGACAACAGAUGACACUCAUUGCUUUUGAGGCAUAUGUGACAAAUAUUGGAAGGCUUUCUAAGGUCAGAGGCGAAGGAAUGAAGAUAGGAGGGAAGAGGAUGAAAAGAAGGGAUGGAGAGAAAGAAUGAAGUAGAUGGAAAGAUCAGUAGAAACACCAAUCAAGACUGGCAAUGAGUACUCCAGUAAUCUUUUUCUAUCCACCUGUAGCUUGAAUCUUUUCAGGACGAAACAGAUUCUACAUAUUUUUCCUUCCAAUGCAGAGGAAGGCUGUUGUUUAACAGUGUUUUAAUUGGCCAAGGGUAAAUGCAACUCAAAGAAAGACCGAAGUGGACUUAAAAGAAGUAUCACUGUUUAUCAGCAGGAACCAACAUUUAUUGAGCAGUCAUUAUGCAUCCAUUAUGAAAAACCACUGGACACUUUACCCAUUAUCUCAUAGGUACAAUCAUCUCUUUUAAUGGAUGGAGAGGUUAAACACAGUGGGCUCUAAAAC
rnacentral:lncRNA from 1 species